UACGAAGGGGGCUAGCGUUGUUCGGAAUUACUGGGCGUAAAGCGUGCGCAGGCGGCUUCUCAAGUCAGGAGUGAAAGCCCAGAGCUCAACUCUGGAAUUGCCUUUGAGACUGAGUGGCUUGAGUACGGGAGAGGUGAGUGGAAUUCCCAGUGUAGAGGUGAAAUUCGUAGAUAUUGGGAAGAACACCGGUGGCGAAGGCGGCUCACUGGCCCGUAACUGACGCUCAUGCACGACAGCGUGGGGAGCAAACAGG
rnacentral:rRNA from 1 species